UGAUGUGAUCAUACCAACACUAAACCAACGGAUCCCAUCAAAACUCCGAAGUUAAGCGUGCUUGGGCGAGAGUAGUACUAGGAUGCGUUACCUCCUGGGAAGUCCUCGUGUUGCAUUCC
rnacentral:rRNA from 2 species